rnacentral:rRNA from 1 species
AUGGGUUUUGAAGAUGGGCGAGCCUACACUGUUAGCGUGCCAUGCGUACAUGCUAUAUGGGCUGGGCCAGUUCUUUGUGCCGUGCAACUUACAUUUGGAAAAAGGAAGCCAUGCUGGGUGUCAUGGGAUAUUAUGACACGGCCAAAACACCUUGAAGGUUUGGGAUUCAAGGACAUGAAGAUUUUCAAUUUAGCGCUCCUGACGAGACAAGCAUGGCGCAUACAUACAAAUGAUACACCAUUGAGCGCUAGGAUGUUCAAGGCAAUUUAUUUUCCGAGUUGCAGCUUGCUAGCAGAGUUGGGAUCUCAUCCUUCUCAGAUUUGACGUGCGAUUUUGGACGGCCGAGACAUUAUGGCUCAAGGACUCAUCCGGAGGAUUGGGGAUGGGACGAGUACGGCGAUUUGGACACAUAACUGGAUUCCUCGUGCUCACUUUAAAUGUCCGAUAACCUCUCUGGUCCCUAACCCUCCGCUUAUGGUUGCUCAGCUUAUAGACAACACGAACGCCUCCUGGAAUGAGAAUCUGGUCAGGUCGGUGUUUACUCACUUUGAUGCAGAAGAGAUCCUUAAAAUACCGCCGUGCACACGUACAAUUCCAGAUUUCUGGGCAUGGCAUGAGGAAAGCAAGGGAAUUUUCACAGUCCGGUCUGCCUACCGAAUGAUCUUGCGCACAAAGCUUAGUAGGGAGGGCUGGAUUGAAGGGAAGCGGGCACUUCAGAAAACCAGUCCGAGAGUAAUCAGUGGUCCUCUAUCUGGCAUAUCAAAGUUCCAUCGAAACUUCGGGUUUUUGUAUGGAGACUAG